AGAGUUUGAUCCUGGCUCAGGAUGAACGCUAGCUACAGGCUUAACACAUGCAAGUCGAGGGGCAUCAGGAAGAAAGCUUGCUUUCUUUGCUGGCGACCGGCGCACGGGUGAGUAACACGUAUCCAACCUGCCCUUUACUCGGGGAUAGCCUUUCGAAAGAAAGAUUAAUACCCGAUAGCAUAAUGAUUCCGCAUGGUUUCAUUAUUAAAGGAUUCCGGUAAAGGAUGGGGAUGCGUUCCAUUAGGUUGUUGGUGAGGUAACGGCUCACCAAGCCUUCGAUGGAUAGGGGUUCUGAGAGGAAGGUCCCCCACAUUGGAACUGAGACACGGUCCAAACUCCUACGGGAGGCAGCAGUGAGGAAUAUUGGUCAAUGGGCGCUAGCCUGAACCAGCCAAGUAGCGUGAAGGAUGAAGGCUCUAUGGGUCGUAAACUUCUUUUAUAUAAGAAUAAAGUGCAGUAUGUAUACUGUUUUGUAUGUAUUAUAUGAAUAAGGAUCGGCUAACUCCGUGCCAGCAGCCGCGGUAAUACGGAGGAUCCGAGCGUUAUCCGGAUUUAUUGGGUUUAAAGGGAGCGUAGGUGGACUGGUAAGUCAGUUGUGAAAGUUUGCGGCUCAACCGUAAAAUUGCAGUUGAUACUGUCAGUCUUGAGUACAGUAGAGGUGGGCGGAAUUCGUGGUGUAGCGGUGAAAUGCUUAGAUAUCACGAAGAACUCCGAUUGCGAAGGCAGCUCACUGGACUGCAACUGACACUGAUGCUCGAAAGUGUGGGUAUCAAACAGGAUUAGAUACCCUGGUAGUCCACACAGUAAACGAUGAAUACUCGCUGUUUGCGAUAUACAGUAAGCGGCCAAGCGAAAGCAUUAAGUAUUCCACCUGGGGAGUACGCCGGCAACGGUGAAACUCAAAGGAAUUGACGGGGGCCCGCACAAGCGGAGGAACAUGUGGUUUAAUUCGAUGAUACGCGAGGAACCUUACCCGGGCUUAAAUUGCAGUGGAAUGAUGUGGAAACAUGUCAGUGAGCAAUCACCGCUGUGAAGGUGCUGCAUGGUUGUCGUCAGCUCGUGCCGUGAGGUGUCGGCUUAAGUGCCAUAACGAGCGCAACCCUUAUCUUCAGUUACUAACAGGUUAUGCUGAGGACUCUGGAGAGACUGCCGUCGUAAGAUGUGAGGAAGGUGGGGAUGACGUCAAAUCAGCACGGCCCUUACGUCCGGGGCUACACACGUGUUACAAUGGGGGGUACAGAAGGCAGCUAGCGGGUGACCGUAUGCUAAUCCCAAAAGCCUCUCUCAGUUCGGAUCGAAGUCUGCAACCCGACUUCGUGAAGCUGGAUUCGCUAGUAAUCGCGCAUCAGCCACGGCGCGGUGAAUACGUUCCCGGGCCUUGCACACACCGCCCGU
rnacentral:rRNA from 1 species